GACGAACGCUGGCGGCGUGCUUAACACAUGCAAGUCGAACGGAAAGGCCCUGCUUUUGUGGGGUGCUCGAGUGGCGAACGGGUGAGUAACACGUGAGUAACCUGCCCUUGACUUUGGGAUAACUUCAGGAAACUGGGGCUAAUACCGGAUAGGAGCUCCUGCUGCAUGGUGGGGGUUGGAAAGUUUCGGCGGUUGGGGAUGGACUCGCGGCUUAUCAGCUUGUUGGUGGGGCAGUGGCUUACCAAGGCUUUGACGGGUAGCCGGCCUGAGAGGGUGACCGGCCACAUUGGGACUGAGAGACGGACCAGAAUCCUACGGGAGGCAGAAGGGGGGAAUAUUGCAGAAUGGGCGGAAGCCUGAUGCAGAAACGCCGCGUGCGGGAUGACGGCCUUCGGGUUGUAAACCGAUGUCGAAUGUGACGAAGAGUGAGUGACGGUAAUGGGUAAAGAAGCACCGGCUAACUACGUG
rnacentral:rRNA from 1 species